rnacentral:rRNA from 1 species
CCCUUAGAUGUUCUGGGCCGCACGCGCGCUACACUGAUUCAUGCAACAAGUUUUGUCCUUGGCUGAUAGGCCUGGGUAAUCUUUGAACGUGAAUCGUGAUGGGGAUAGAUGAUUGCAAUUAUUCAUCUUCAACGAGGAAUUCCUAGUAAACGCAAGUCAUCAGCUUGCAUUGAUUACGUCCCUGCCCUUUGUACACACCGCCCGUCGCACCUACCGAUUGAAUGGUCCGGUGAAAUCUUCGGAUCUGAGAGAUGUCUGAUUAAUUUCGGACGCCUUUUGGAAAAGUUGUUUAAACCUUAACAUUUAGAGGAAGGUGAAGUCGUAACA